GGGCCGUUAGCUCAGUUGGUAGAGCAGUUGGCUUUUAACCAAUUGGUCGCUGGUUCGAAUCCAGCACGGCCCACAA
rnacentral:tRNA from 1 species